UACGUAGGGUGGCAAGCGUUGUCCGGAUUUACUGGCGUAAAGGAUGCGUAGGCGGACAUUUAAGUCAGAUGUGAAAUACCCGAGCUUAACUUGGGUGCUGCAUUUGAAACUGGGUGUCUAGAGUGCAGGAGAGGUAAGUGGAAUUCCUAGUGUAGCGGUGAAAUGCGUAGAGAUUAGGAAGAACACCAGUGGCGAAGGCGACUUACUGGACUGUAACUGACGCUGAGGCAUGAAAGCGUGGGGAGCAAACAGG
rnacentral:rRNA from 1 species